rnacentral:rRNA from 1 species
GUAAUCACUUGUCUCCUAAAUAGAGACCUGUAUGAACGGCUAAAUGAGGACAAACCUGUCUCUUACAACCAAUCAGUGAAACUGAUCUACCAGUACAAAAGCUGGUAUAAACACAUAAGACGAGAAGACCCUGUGGAGCUUAAGACACAAUACUAAAACACCCUAGUAAAAUGUCUUGAGUUGGGGCGACUUCGGAAAAAAACAAAACUUCCGAGCAGGGGGCCACAAGCUCUCUCCAAGGCCAACAAGCCUAAGUAUAAAACUGACCCGGCAAGACCGAACAACGAACCAAGUUACCCCAGGGAUAACAGCGCAAUCUUCUUCAAGAGUCCAUAUCGACAAGAAGGUUUACGACCUCGAUGUUGGAUCAGGACACCCAGGUGGUGCAGCCGCUACCAAAGGUUCGUUUGUUCAACGAUUAACAGU